UACAGAGGUCCCGAGCGUUGUUCGGAUUCACUGGGCGUAAAGGGUGCGUAGGUGGCGAGGUAAGUCGGAUGUGAAAGCUCGGAGCUCAACUCCGAAAUGGCAUUGGAAACUACCUUGCUUGAGGGUUGGAGGGGGGACUGGAAUACUUGGUGUAGCAGUGAAAUGCGUAGAUAUCAAGUGGAACACCAGUGGCGAAGGCGAGUCCCUGGACAACUCCUGACACUGAGGCACGAAAGCUAGGGGAGCAAACAGG
rnacentral:rRNA from 1 species